rnacentral:misc_RNA from 1 species
UCUCCGUUGGUGAACCAGCGGAGGGAUCAUUACCGAAUUUACAACUCCCAAACCCAAUGUGAACGUUACCAAACUGUUGCCUCGGCGGGGUCACGCCCCGGGUGCGUCGCAGCCCCGGAACCAGGCGCCCGCCGGAGGAACCAACCAAACUCUUUCUGUAGUCCCCUCGCGGACGUUAUUUCUUACAGCUCUGAGCAAAAAUUCAAAAUGAAUCAAAACUUUCAACAACGGAUCUCUUGGUUCUG